AUGCACGCUGGCGGCGUGCCUCAUACAUGCAAGUCGAGCGAACAGACGAGGAGCUUGCUCCUCUGACGUUAGCGGCGGACGGGUGAGUAACACGUGGAUAACCUACCUAUAAGACUGGGAUAACUUCGGGAAACCGGAGCUAAUACCGGAUAAUAUAUUGAACCGCAUGGUUCAAUAGUGAAAGACGGUUUUGCUGUCACUUAUAGAUGGAUCCGAGCCGCAUUAGCUAGUUGGUAAGGUAACGGCUUACCAAGGCAACGAUGCGUAGCCGACCUGAGAGGGUGAUCGGCCACACUGGAACUGAGACACGGUCCAGACUCCUACGGGAGGCAGCAGUAGGGAAUCUUCCGCAAUGGGCGAAAGCUUGACGGAGCAACGCCGCGUGAGUGAUGAAGGUCUUCGGAUCGUAAAACUCUGUUAUUAGGGAAGAACAAAUGUGUAAGUAACUAUGCACGUCUUGACGGUACCUAAUCAGAAAGCCACGGCUAACUACGUG
rnacentral:rRNA from 1 species